CCGAAAAAUCCAAAUUAAAUUCCGUGGAUUUUUAGAAAUGAUUUCACGAUAGUGGGAGCGAGUACGAGGCUCGGAGAAGUUGUGGAAUUAGUUCGAACGAUUAAUUUUCGAAAAAACGAACGUUAUUUAGGGGCUCGCGAAAGUUGACUUUUUAUACGUUCAAAAUUUGGGAAAACUUUCUUCAUGAAAGUUGUAGAGCUCGUCGAUACGAUCGCGUGCAUAUGUGGAACGCAAAAAUCGGAGUUCGUAUGAAUUAGUUAUGAUUUUUUGAAAAAGUUUCCAAUUUAGUAUAAAGCUUCCAUUUUUGGAAAUUUCCAAAAAUAAAAACAGAUUUUUCCAAAAUUGGAAAAUCUGCUGCGAUUUUAGUUCCCCGCCGGAAAUCGCCUCCAAAACUUCGAUCGACGAUUUCUUCCUCCUCCGGCCACCGAUCCUCACCAAACUUCUUCCAUUGGCUUCGUAUGGUCCUUGCGCACCUGUCUGUGGCAGCCUUUCACGGCGGCGCGGCCUGUAGCGGCGGCGACAAGCCCGGUCCGAUUUAAGCUCGAUUUUGGUCAACGCCGGUUUUCUCCUAGCUCCGGCCACCAAAACUUCCGAUCCUUGGCUUCAUGAACUCCCCUCAACCUGCUGAUCAUCAUACUAGGAGGAUUGCACCUAGAGUGACCGGUUUCACGUUCGUCGGAGCUCGUGGGUUCCCCUUGAUGUUAUUAACAACUCUCUAGAAGGCAUCGCGGCCUGAAAUUGAAGCUUUGACGUCGAAAUCGAGCCUUGCCUGAUUCUGCAAAAUUCUGGAAUUUUUCCGACCACCGAAGCUUUCGAUCGGUAUAUCUCGAGCUACAGACCAUAUUUUUCUGUGAUUCUUGAACCAGUGAGUUCUUCUUGAGUUUCUUAACAACUCUUCAGAAGGAAUCGAAGCCUUAAAUUGACGUUUUUACGUCGAAUUGGAGCUCGCCGUUUUCUGCAGUUUCUCGCCGGUUUCUGGAAAAUUCCGGCCACCUUCAUACUGUUCAAGGUGAUUGACGGUUUAAGUUGGUGGACGAUUGUGGAUCGUAUUCUGAGCUGUUGAGAAGACGCAGCGGGAUUAGAGCGGGUAAUCCUACAGGACAGGAGAACCAGGACGGUGAUC